CGAACGAUGAUGCCCAGCUUGCUGGGUGGAUUAGUGGCGAACGGGUGAGUAACACGUGAGUAACCUGCCCCUGACUCUGGGAUAAGCGUUGGAAACGACGUCUAAUACUGGAUAUGACUGCCGGCCGCAUGGUCUGGUGGUGGAAAGAUUUUUUGGUUGGGGAUGGACUCGCGGCCUAUCAGCUUGUUGGUGAGGUAAUGGCUCACCAAGGCGACGACGGGUAGCCGGCCUGAGAGGGUGACCGGCCACACUGGGACUGAGACACGGCCCAGACUCCUACGGGAGGCAGCAGUGGGGAAUAUUGCACAAUGGGCGAAAGCCUGAUGCAGCAACGCCGCGUGAGGGAUGACGGCCUUCGGGUUGUAAACCUCUUUUAGUAGGGAAGAAGCGAAAGUGACGGUACCUGCAGAAAAAGCACCGGCUAACUACGUGCCAGCAGCCGCGGUAAUACGUAGGGUGCAAGCGUUGUCCGGAAUUAUUGGGCGUAAAGAGCUCGUAGGCGGUUUGUCGCGUCUGCUGUGAAAUCCCGAGGCUCAACCUCGGGCUUGCAGUGGGUACGGGCAGACUAAAGUGCGGUAGGGGAAGAUUGGAAUUCCUGGUGUAGCGGUGGAAUGCGCAGAUAUCAGGAGGAACACCGAAUGGCGAAGGCAGAUCUCUGGGCCGUAACUGACGCUGAGGAGCGAAAGCGUGGGGAGCGAACAGGAAUUAGAUACC
rnacentral:rRNA from 1 species